rnacentral:lncRNA from 1 species
AUUAGUCAUUACUAGCAAACUAUCAGAUUAUUCAGAAAUAAUAUUGUUUCAGAAAUUAUUGUGCCUCAAGAGUUUCUGUCAGUUGACGAAUUAUCUUUUUAUUUAUAAAAGAUAGUCUUUUGUUGAUUUAGGUAGGGAAAUAAUCUCAGACCAGUCAUACUCAUUUGAUAUUCAUUUCCUUAAUAGAAGCACUAUUGAGAAUUGACUUUCAUUUUCUGCACAGAUAGUCAGAUAUUUACUCUAUUAUUUGGUAGCAGCUAAUUACUGUUCAAUGCCAAUUUUGCUUACCUUAUAUUUCAAAGGAGAGCAUCCAACUGAAUGAGUAUAUUUUGCUAAUUGAAUGAGCAUCAAACUGAAUGAGCACCAAACUGAAUCCAAUUGAUGCAGAGCAUCAGUUAUAUAUUUCCAAGGAGACUAACACACAUUCCAAGCAUCUUGGAAUGAGUAUUUUGCAAAGAAUGAGUGGUGGGCCUGACCAAGGUUGGGCCUCACAACCUUCUCUCUAGAAGGUCUCCACACUCACAUCAUUAGGGUUGUCCAUCACCUAAGAUGUGAGUAUAAAAGAGAUGGACUUCACAAGGAGAGAGACAGAUUAUUAUCAAUUAAUGCUCUAGGUAUUAUUCAGCCGCCUCUCUAUCCUUUGCUUACUUUACUCUCUUGUUCCUAUUCUUUCAUUCCUUACUAUACUUGUGAUCUGAUAUUCUCUAUUUCUAUCCCAUCUUGGUGGAUUCUAAGAUUGCUUUCUCCUCUUUCUAGCAUUGUUCGAGUCUUCGAGAAGAUCCUUCUUCUCGAAAUUUGACAUAAGGAUAUUGCAUGCUGAUUUUUUCUGGACAUAUCAGCAAUAUUAUGUUUCUUCAGUUUGAUGUAGAAUAUAAAUUAUAUAAUGUCACGAUAAACGUAAAUGUUUGGUUUUAAAAAAAAUUCUAAUCUGGCA